CCUUACUCCAAACCAUUUUCUGGUUGGUUCCUCCAAUGGUUCAAAACCUUUAGUAAUCAUCGAUGAUAGCCGAUAUGCUCUGAAGCAGAACAUGUGCACCUCACAAAUCCUGGCAAACAUGUAUUGGAAACGCUGGGUAAAGGAUUAUCUUCCGGAGAUUACCCGACGAUCCAAGUGGUUCCACUCUGUCAAACCCAUCGCUAUCGGAGACAUUGUCGUCAUUGCCGACCCGAAACUACCACGGAAUUGUUGGCCGAAAGGAAGGGUCAUAUCUACGAAGGCCAGCCGGGAUGACCAGAUUCGAUCAGCGACCGUUCAGACAGCCUCUGGAGUUUACGAGCGUCCAGUGGCGAAGUUGGCAAUUUUAGAUGUUCAGCGCGUAGUGCAGUAAGCCAACCGGAAGUUGGCGUACCCUGGGGGAGUGUUAGCCUACCCCAUUAGGCCAGCGCGCGCAUCUGUUUAUAGCAUUAGCUACAUCGUCGCAGCCCUACAGCAGAGACAGCUUCGAUGACAGUGGAGUGACAGGUAGUUCUGCCGUCACCGGGUGAGUCAGCAAAGUAGAAGACCAAAGUAAAUUAAUACCAUGCAUAUCAGCUACUCGUGCUACAAAUAGUAUCUUAUUAUUAAAGUAAAUCUUACCUAAAAGUGCUUAUACUAAGUGAAACUAUAUAUAAUUGUGUGCUUAACAUCUACAUACGUAACCGCAGGCCCGAUUGCAUAACCAAAGCUGCUUGUCGCAGUGCUUAGCUCCCCUAAAUUAUCACACCGGUAAUAUUUGAUUACCACACGGAUCAUUGCUACUACAAACUAGAUACAGACUACGAACUAUUAUAUGAACUAAAAGGGAAACUAAAACGUGAGUAAACCUCUAUAUAUUUGCGUUAUUGAAAUGCAGUAUGUUCUCAUUGAAUAAUAACCUCUAUUACAAGUAUACUGAGAAUAGCCUUAAAUUAUAUGUACACAUUGUAAAUGCAUUUCACAGGAAAAUUAUAUUCUCGAUACUACCAACAACCGGAUCAAACGUUUUUAUUUCGCUUCCGGUCGAGAAUUAUAAUUCCGGAAAUUUCCCCCGUUGGAUUAACUCCAACAAAUAGUAUUCUCUAUCUUUCAUUUAAAUUUUGAGAUGCGUGCUCAAACUAUGGACUGAAUAACCCGUUAUUAAAAAUAUCGACAUAUAAAAUAUUGUAUGACAUAGCCUAACAUCAUUAGGUAUACAUUCUAUUAAAUGUAUAUUUGAUUGCAAAUUGUUGGCAGGCUGUUUGCUUUGUCAUCAGU